rnacentral:rRNA from 1 species
GACGAACGCUGGCGGCGUGCUUAACACAUGCAAGUCGAACGAAGUGGCGAACGGGUGAGUAACGCGUAAUCAACCUGCACUUCAGCGGGUGACAACAGUUGGAAACGACUGCUAAUCCCGCAUACUGAAGGAGGGGAUUGCGGCUGAUUAGCUAGUUGGAGGGGUACCGGCCAACAAAGGCGAUGAUCAGUAGCCGGCCUGAGAGGAUGAACGGCCACAUUGGGACUGAGACACGGCACAGACUCCUACGGGAGGCAGCAGUGGGUAAUCUUCCGCAAUGGACGAAAGUCUGACGAGGCAACGCCGCGUGAGUGAUGACGGCCUUCGGGUUGUAAAGCUCUGUUAAUCGGGACGCGGUACCGGAAUAGAAAGCCACGGCUAACUACGUGCCAGCAGCCGCGGUAAUUC